GUUCGUCGUUCGUUCGGAUUGCAUUACACUGAAAACUAGUUCAAAAACGAGGAAGUAAGCAAUGAGGAAGUGCGAUCCUAAAGAUAAAGAAGUAAGAGAAAUGCAGAUAACAUCAGUGACACGGUUUGCGUACAACGAUAGUAUGAAAUCACGAUUGAUCGGCAGUAAUCUGUACCUAAUGCAACCAGAAGACUUACAAAACACAGUAAUACACUGGCAACAACAAAUUUCAGAUACCAAUUCAAUAAAAAUCUAGGGAAUAUCAAAUAGAUCUCACCGGAACAAAACUACAUAAGUCUCUAAGCCCUAAGCAGUUUGACGAGAAUUGGAUCAAACGCUAUCAGUUAUGAUCAAUAAAACAGCGUUUUCGAUGAUGAAAUUUAUUUAAAAGGUCCACAACACUUGACAGCGAAAAGUUGAAAAAAGGGACAAAACUACAUGUGAUUUUUCAACAGCUACAAGAAUUUUACUCGAAGUCAUAUCAAAUAGUGAGUUUUUGAAUAAAGUAAUUGUUUUA